rnacentral:lncRNA from 1 species
UUUUUUUUUUCAAAGUUUUAUUAAUUUUAACUAUAUAAAGUAGAGUUAGGCUCCUGUUUAAAAAAAAAAAAAGUUUUUUUAAAAUGCACCUUUAAUGUUUAGGAAGAAUUUCUUUUUGGUCCAAAGCUGUUUUUAGACAAGGUGAUAUAAAAUCUUUGACUUAUUUCAUAUAUGUUGCAAUAUUUUUAUUGAUAUUAAAUUAAUAAAAACUUCCCCCGAAGAGGUGAGAAAGAUUAACUGAAAUUUUUGAUUUAUUUUCUGAAUUUACUCAACAUCACUUCUGCAGCUUAGAACAAUUUUUUGACAUACAAAAAUUUUUCCCCAGGACUAUUCAGCUAUAAGGAACCUUGAAAAUUCUUAAACCAACCUUUAUAUUUUUGAAAAGAAAAUUAACGUUCUAGGAAUUAAAUGGUGAAACAUGCCUAUAUAUCUACUUAAAUGUCACGUCAGGUUUAGAGAAAAGAAUCCUAAUUCCUGUUUCAGUCUUCAUUUAAAGUGAAAAAUAAAGGUAAAAGCAAUGUCCAGAGAUCUUGAGUAUCUGAAGAACAUCAUUUAAAGCUGGGAACAGGAGUGGGUAAAUAGUUGUCCACAUGGAACUCACACAUUCCCAGGCACAAGGCAGAAAAACCAAUGUCAAGAGUGAAGACUGUCAACAACUAGUUUUCUGCAUACUGACUCCUCUAGCUCCUCUAGCUCCAAAAUUCCCACCUAGAGAGCCUCAAUCAAAUCUUUGCCCUCUGCUCCUCUUUCUCACUUUCCUGAGGACUUUAUUCUGUCAAGUGACAUUUGUUCACCAGCUUGCAAAUGAUUCAAAGAUGUCACUCCCAGCCUAACACACACAGGCUACCUACCUUACUUAAGCUGCUUAAAAUAACUUCACCUGAAUCUCCAGUAUCCCUUUAGAGUCAACAAAACCAAAACCAUAUUCUCCCUCAAAACUGACCGCCUAUUUUCAAUUUUCCCAUUCCUAUUGUUACAGUUAUUAUUCUCCAGAAUUCUCACUCCCAAAUUUUAAGUCCUCUUCAACUCCUCCCAGAUCUGGUCACUCUCCAUAUCCUAUGAAUAUUAGUCAGAGUGCUCCAAAAAAACAAAGCUAUAUUAAAAGAAAUUAGCUCUCACAAUAUGUGGGCUAUCCCAAUUCGUAUGGGAAGGCCAGCAGGCUGCUGUAGAACUGGUAAGAACCAGUAUUCCAAUGUGAGGGCUGUCUGGCAGACUGCUCUCUUAUUCAAGGAAGGUGAGAGUGUUCUUCUACUCAGGACCUCAACGAAUUGGAUGAGGCCCACUCACAUUACAGUCUACAAGUUCAAAUUUUAAUCUCCAAAAGCACCAUCAGAAAAACACCCAGGAUAAUGUUUAACCAAGUAUCUUGGCACCCAGUGGCAUAGUCAAAUUGACACAAAAAAAUUAACCAUUAUACUAUGGUUUUACUAUUCAAAAAUUUCACACCCUUUUCUCUACUUUCAUUCUCACUACCAUUAUCUUAGUUCAGAUCCUUAUGAUCUCCUACUAGUUUUGAGCAGAAGGAUGUAAACCAGCCCCUUCCCAUUCUUUAGUUCACAUAUCACUGAAUAGGAGGUAGAUACACUUAUUUUCAGAAACAUUUCUACCACAUCAUUCUUAUUCUGUUCCUUAAUUCACAAUGGCAUCUUACUCUAAAUAGAUCCAAUUCUUUUCUUAUACUGUUGUACAUAAUCCAGACCUACCUGGCCUACUGACCUGUUUCUGCUGUCACUCUCCUAGAUCAGAACUCACAAUAUAAGCGACCAAUAGCUAAAGUAUGUUCAUUGCUCAUUAAUGCCCUUUUUCUACUCAAAGAAACACCCUUUCUCUACUCAACGUCCUUUCUCUACUUUCCUCUGGAAAGCACUGUGCAUUCUUCUCUGCCUAUUCCUAUCUACCUGCUGAGAUGUGUCUCCGGCUUCAACUCCUUUUGGAAGUUUUCCUAAUUCUAUAAAUGCUAUAAAUCUUUUAAUUUUCUAAACCUCAUAUGUAUUUAAGCUAAACAAAACCAUUCUUAUUCUAAACUACUCUGUUUUGUACUCUAAUUUAUUUCUUUUGUACAUUCAUCUUUCCCUAGUCCCCAGUCUCACCCUAUUACCUCCAAAUACAUACCCUCUAUUUAUCUUGGGCUGAAAAUCUGUGAUCUGAAUCUGUGAUGUGUUAAUAAGCAAUGGAUAUGCAAAGAAGUACUAUUCUCAAGAACCUUAGAAUUUGAUGAGAAAUACAUUACUAUACAAAUCAUUAUGGAGCAAUGUAGUACAUGCUCUAAGAAAGGUACAAAGCUCUAAGAGGAUACAGGGAGUAUAACAGAGGGAGAAUCUAAAUAGUGGAAUAAUGUGGUAUCGGAUAAAUUUAAUAGGAGGAGAGGAAAAGGCAUUUCAGUACUGAGAAUAAUCAGUGCAAAGGAAUAAAGGCAAUGAAGAAAAAAAAGGUAAAGAGACAUUUACCAAAAUGGUACCUGUACUAGGCAUAAAGGACCAGAACCCAGGCACAGAAUGGCUGAAAAACAAGAGAUUAAAUUCAGCAGCAGAAUAACUGAGUAAUAGAUAGAGCCCCAGAGCAAAAACGUCUGUAAUAUUGAGAAUGCUAAGUCCACAACUUGGGUUGGGCCAAGGAGAAACAGGCAUGAUUGGAGGAUGGAGCCAAGUCAUUUCUAACCAAGGGAGUUGGAAGUCCCUGAAGUAUAGGUGAAAUUAUGUUUGCUCCUUAUCCAGAAUCCUAAAGAACAAAGACUCUCCAAAACUCAUUGGGCAUUAAAUCUAAACUCAUCUGGCAACAAAAACUGGCCUAAACACACAUGAAGCUACCAGUAGUUCCCUGUGGUGCAGUGGGUUAAGGAUCCAGCAUUGUCAGUGCAGCAGCUCAGGUCGCUGCUGCGGCUUGGGUUUGAUGCCUGGCCUAGGAACUUCUACAUGCUGCAGGCACAGCGAAAGCAAAACAAAGAAAACCAGACAUGGAGUUCCCAUCGUGGCUCAGUGGUUAACGUAUCUGACUAGGAACCAUGAGGCUGAGGCUUUGAUCCCUGGCCUUGCUCAGUGGUUUAAGAAUACAGCAUUGUCGUGAGCUGUGGUGUAGGUCGCAGAUGCGGCUCGGAUCCCGUGUUGCUGUGGCUCUGGCGUAGGCCGGUGGCUAUAGCUACUAUUAGACUCCUAGCCUGGGAACCUCCAUAUGCC